AAACCAAGCAUCAUUUGGGACAAUCGAUCGGCUUCAACACAUAAUCACUCGCCAUGUGGCCCCUGCUUAGGAUCGACAUGCAUCUUGCAUGUAUCCUUUCCCAGGUUCUAGCCAUAUCUGUUGCAACAGCCAUGGGUUGUUACCAUAUACGCCCGUAUCUGCGGGUAGCUAGGUUUGUUGUGAUCCGAUAAAUUUGGCCGACGCUAUCCUAAAGCCAUGUGUCUCUCCUAUAAAACAAAUCCACCCAGCCUCGUCUUCGGCCUCAAACAGAACGCCAUAGCGCAGCUGAGAGAGAGAACAGAAGGGAGGAGAGAGGGCCUCGCCGGCGACCUUCGCUCCGGCCUUGAUGUGGGUGCCCAGUUCCUCGCUGGGCAGUGCCGAGCGUACACCGAGAAGGUCGCGCUCUCGCCGGUCAAGUCUGGAGGACGAGCUGCUCAGAAUGCGUCGUCAGCAUUGAGAGAAGUCAUGGGCUCCUACACAAAUGCAAUCCGCCGUCGUCUACGUCUCGACCAACGGUAAGAACAAUGCCCUGCCGUGCGCCGCAUCGCCCACUCCGAUGUGUGCGAACCCCUGUCUCCGGCCGGCGUCGCGCUGCCUAGGCGCAUGCCCCAGCCAUUACCACGAAGACGCCUGCCCUCACUUUUGCCUGCAUGCCGCCAUGCAUGUACUCAAUGAAGAAGAAAUAUCAUGCGUCUUCGUGGGAUUGGAAAGUGGACAACCGUAGGAAAUGUAAUCUGCUAGGCCCACCAGCAUGCAUCACGAUCCCACUAAAACCAAGUUGUUGCAUGCGGCACAAUUUCUUUUUCUCCAUACGACCAGCAAAUGCAAAACGGCCCCCACAUCCCCACAGAUCUUCUGCCCCCGCAGCCAUGUAGCCAAUCGUGUGGCCGGACUCUAGCCAACGAGAUCAUGACACGUCGCCUAUAAUCCGUGAAAUGUUAUUUACUCAAAAUAUUUGCGUUGUAGAACCAUUUCAACCUGUCCCAAUUGCGUUGAGUUUGUAAUAGUAUCGUCUACAUGUUAGAAACAUUGUUUUGUCACGACACGUGUUUUGAUUAAUUAAUUAAUUAAUUGUUCAUCCGAGGAUUAUUAAAAUGGCGAUUUAGUUAAAACUAAGUUAUAGUUUUAAUUUACGCUUUUAUAAAUACAUGUUAAUGUGGUUAAUGUCUACUCUAAUGUUUUUGUUUUAAAACUUGUUUAGUGUAAAUGUGAUAUCUGUUAGUGAUUCUUGUGUGAUUGCGCUCGCCGUCGUCGCGCUGUUCGCGCAUGUUGCCACGCACCAUUCACACGUAUCGCAUGCUGUCCGAGCCUAAUAUUAAAUCGUCUCACCAUAUUGUUCAUGUUGGAUAAUUAAUUACUUGCUUAAUUGUCAACUAUUAAAAUAACAAUUCAAUCGACUCAAAUUUAUUAUUUUUAAUUUUUAUUUUAUAAAUGCAUGUUAAUAUGACUAUACCGAACUAAGUGUGCUAAUCAAUACUCACUUAACGUAAACGUGGUACCUUCUCGACCGUAGCCCCGACUAUCUCGUUUCUAUUCCCCGUAUGACCAUGGAAGCGAGCUCUAUUUUAUAUAUGUUUUAUAAUGUUUUCUUUUAUUUGGUGUAAUGUUAAUUUUGCCUAUACCAUAUUUGUUUGUAUUGCUACGACUAGCGUGAGGUUACGAGCCACCUGAAGAACAAGUUGGUAGCUGGAAUCUCAAGUCCCAGGCAAGUUGUGCCCUUGAUCACUUCUUUUACCCACUCAUGUUCUAAUUAAUCAUAAUGAUCUGCAUAGGUUAAUUUUGAUGGGACCCAAUAGGUUACCCUAGUUUGACUAUCUUUAUACCUUGAUUACCACUGGACUUUUUGGGUAGUACUUGCUAUUGCUUUAUGUGGUUUUGGGUAUGAAGAUUACACUAUUCAUGGUUAUACUUUUGUUAUCAGUUGUUAUUUAUUGUUCAUGUUAAAGAUCAUUAUGUUAAUUGGAACAUGGAGAACCACCCGGGAAAACAGUGCUACCACAAGGGUUUAUGGACGCCCUUGGCUGACUAAUUAGGAAAGCUAGUGGAGGACUAUCUUACCCGAAAGGGGCAAGGGCAGUAGGGGAGUGGUCAGUGUAGGGAGGCCCUCGGGAGGAUUUUGCUGUGAUGGCGGUCCUGCAAGGGAUUCCUGGGAAGGCCCUCGGGAGGAUUUUGCUGUGAUGGCGGUCCUGCAAGGGAUUCCUGGGGAGGCCCUCGGGAGGAUUUUGCUGUGAUGGCGGUCCUGCAAGGGAUUCCUGCAUUGGAGCUUCCUAUAAACUGUAGCGGGUUUUCUGAAGCUAGUGGAACUUUGUAAAGGCCUCGUAGUGUUACCCUGCCUCGCCUCCUCGGUAGAGGUGUAUGGGAAGUCGCGAUCCCUUGGCAGAUGGGUAACAUGACUUGUGGGUAAAGAUGCGCAACCUCUGCAGAGUGUAAAACUGGUAUACUAGCCGUGCUCACGGUCAUGAGCAGCUCGGACACUCACAUGAUUAAAUUAUAUAACUUAAACUCAAUUUGUCAUAUGCAUUGCAUCGCAGGUGAGGUUGUUACUUUUGUUCUACUACUUAAUUGGGUUGGAAUUUACUUAUACUUAGUAAUUGCUAAUAAAAUUUUGACCAACUUUAAAAGCAAUGCUCAGCUCUAACCAUCCUCUUUGGUAAGCCUUACACUUCACAUGAGCUCCCAUCUUUGGCGAGUUCAGGCACAUUAUUCCCCACAACUUGUUGAGCGAUGAACGUAUGUGAGCUCACUCUUGCUGUCUCACACCCCCCCCACAGGUCAAGAACAGGUACCGCAGGAUGAGGCGCUUGGAGGAUGCUGCGAUGUGUUCGUGAGAGGUCUAGGUCGUCGUCUCCCAGUCAACUUUGGGUUGCUGGACCGUUGUCUCCAUAUAAUGUAAUAAUUUAUUUACUUUGUACAGAACUCCGAUUAUAUAGUAAAGAUGUGACAUUCGAUCCUGUGCCAUGAUUCAUCAUAUGUGUGAGACUUGGUCCCAGCACACCUGGUGAUUAUGUUCGCACCCGGGCUUUGGACCCCUAAAACCCGGGUGUGACAGAAGUGGUAUCAGAGGAAUGUUGACUGUAGGACUAAACCUAGAUAGAACUGGACAACCAAUACUUACUUACCUCUGCUACUCUGAUUCUUUUCUAAACUUCUCUUAAUCUUUCUCAUCUAUUUCCGCUUACUCUGAUUAUUCUUACCUUUUCCUUCUAAAGACAAACUUGGAUUUCACACUUUGAAAUCCUAUGCCUAAAGUGACUUUAGGAAUAGGAGACCUACUCUUAGGAACAAAAACAAAACUAUUUUUUUUCUAUAUGCUUGAAUGCUUGUUCUUAUGAUACAUGUAUGAUUUGGAUCUUUGAUUGAGUGUGAUGGGUUGUGGAGUAAUGUCCACAAUUACAUCUACAUAUAUAUAAUGCUUAUAAAAAUAACUAGACAAACUAGAUUAUCCCUCAUUAAAGUAUCUAGCCUAACAAAAUCCAUCUCAUCUUUAAAAAAAAAAAUCUAUCCUACACUCAUAGAUCCAUCUUAUCUUAAAAGGUACUCAUCUUACCUUGAAAAGAUCUUAUGUCACCCUAAUAGAUCUAACUAACCUCGAAUCAAUAAGACCAAGACUGGAGUAGGAAAGAUCAACCCUGUCAAGGAAGGAGAGAAGUCAAACUCGAUCAUCAGAUGCAUUACCAUCCAACACGGAGUUCCUCUCACAAAAAAAAAACUAUCUUACCCUAGGCUAUUCUUGCCCUAACCUUCCUAUCUAUUAUCCUACAUAAUAAAAUGUCUACACAUAUAAACACCCAUGCUUUCCUAAUCACUUUAUAAUUAACGAGAAACUUCUUAAUCAUAAAUUAAUUAGAAACUAAAAGUAAACUAUAAAUAAGUUUUUUUUAUACAUCCUUUUCUUACAAAUCUCGAGGACGAGAUUAAUUUUAAGGGGGGUAGAAUUUGUAACACUGAAAAAUCCUAUGAUAAGAUUUUUGGUAAAAUACUCCACAAAAUUUUGAAUUCGAAUAUAAUUUAAAGAAUUUUUUUACCACUAAAUUUACAUUCCCUAGAAUAAAUAUGUGUUCUAAGAAAGACUAGAAUUUAGUUUAAAACCUAAUUAUAUAAAAAUAAACUAAGUAAUUGUCCUUUUAAUUAAAUUAUUAUACAUAUUAAAAAAAGGGGUGAAAGUAUUGGAUAUUGAGGAAAAUACAAACAAAAAAAAAUGAAUACUAACGUUUGGACGAACUGUUAAAACAAAUAAUGUAUAUAUUGUGUAUGUUGAGCAUUCACUUAAAUGAAUAAUUAAUAUAUAUAUAUAAUAAACUUGAAUUUGCAUGCUGGAAUUUUAUUGUACUUUUGCAUAUGAACUUUAAUCUUGAAUUCAUGCUGUUUUUUUUAUGCUGCAAUUAAAUUAAAUUCAAGAAAAAGAAAAACUAGAAUACGAAUCAUGUUGAAACGUGGAAGAAACAUGAGAUAAUAGAAAUAGAAUAGAAGAAAUAAAACCAAGCAUCAUUUGGGACAAUCGAUCGGCUUCAACACAUAAUCACUCGCCAUGUGGCCCCUGCUUAGGAUCGACAUGCAUCUUGCAUGUAUCCUUUCCCAGGUUCUAGCCAUAUCUGUUGCAACAGCCAUGGGUUGUUACCAUAUACGCCCGUAUCUGCGGGUAGCUAGGUUUGUUGUGAUCCGAUAAAUUUGGCCGACGCUAUCCUAAAGCCAUGUGUCUCUCCUAUAAAACAAAUCCACCCAGCCUCGUCUUCGGCCUCAAACAGAACGCCAUAGCGCAGCUGAGAGAGAGAACAGAAGGGAGGAGAGAGGGCCUCGCCGGCGACCUUCGCUCCGGCCUUGAUGUGGGUGCCCAGUUCCUCGCUGGGCAGUGCCGAGCGUACACCGAGAAGGUCGCGCUCUCGCCGGUCAAGUCUGGAGGACGAGCUGCUCAGAAUGCGUCGUCAGCAUUGAGAGAAGUCAUGGGCUCCUACACAAAUGCAAUCCGCCGUCGUCUACGUCUCGACCAACGGUAAGAACAAUGCCCUG
rnacentral:lncRNA from 1 species